GUGCCAGCAGCCGCGGUAAUUCCAGCUCCAAUAGCGUAUAUUAAAGUUGUUGUGGUUAAAAAGCUCGUAGUUGAACCUUGGGCCUGGCUGGCCGGUCCGCCUCACCGCGUGCACUGGUCCGGCCGGGCCUUUCCCUCUGUGGAACCCCAUACCCUUCACUGGGCGUGGCGGGGAAACAGGACAUUUACUUUGAAAAAAUUAGAGUGCUCCAGGCAGGCCUAUGCUCGAAUACAUUAGCAUGGAAUAAUAAAAUAGGACGCGCGGUUCUAUUUUGUUGGUUUAUAGGACCGCCGUAAUGAUUAAUAGGGACAGUCGGGGGCAUCAGUAUUCAACUGUCAGAGGUGAAAUUCUUGGAUCAGUUGAAGACUAACUACUGCGAAAGCAUUUGCCAAGGAUGUUUUCAUUAAUCGGGAACGAAAGUUAGGGGAUCGAAGACGAUCAGAUACCGUCGUAGUCUUAACCAUAAACUAUGCCGACUAGGGAUCGGACGGUGUUAUUCAUGACCCGUUCGGCACCUUACGAGAAAUCAAAGUGCUUGGGCUCCAGGGGGAGUAUGGUCGCAAGGCUGAAACUUAAAGAAAUUGACGGAAGGGCACCACCAGGGGUGGAGCCUGCGGCUUAAUUUGACUCAACACGGGGAAACCCACCAGGUCCAGACACAAUAAGGAUUGACAGAUUGAGAGCUCUUUCUUGAUUUUGUGGGGUGGUGUGCAUGGCCGCUUCUUCAGUUGGUGGGGGUGACUUGUCUGCUUAAAUUGCGAUAACGAACGAGACCUUAACCCUGCUAAAUAGCCCGGCAUUUGCUCGCA
rnacentral:rRNA from 1 species